AAGAAGCAUUGGGCCUACCAAAGAAGCCCAAAAAAAAAACCCGAUAAUAGCCAAUUCCAAACACAGCAGAACAAUAUGACCCACUUCUCCCAGAUUUCUUUCUUGUGUUACAGUUUUCUGAUCUUGAAAAUUUUGUAAAAUACUUUUAUAUAAAUUAUUGUUACUGUAUUAUAAAUAUCAAAUCCAAAUGUUUUUUUGCUACCCAUCGACUCCUUCAAAAUUUGCUGCUACAUUGACAUGUUUUAUAGGUGGUGCUGCUCUUUUUGCUUUUGGUGUACACUAUUCUUACAUCAAUAUUGCUCCUCAACAAGCUCGUACUAAAGCUAGGAAUGACUUUGUUAAAGAUCGUUUGAGAAAAAAAUAUGGCAAAUAAUUUUGGUCUUCUUUAUUUUCUGGUAUCUGAAACGGUGAAAAUCAACUUGCUGAGGAUCUGCUGGACUAUGAAAAGCAGACACCCGACUUGAUCUAGGACACGAGGUAAUUCAGUAGGAUCGGGCUGAGGGUGAAGCAGAUAGAUAUGAGCAAUUAAUCAACAACAUCCAAAUGCUGAUCGCCAUUCUACAUCAUGCAGGAGGAGUUGGUCAAAUUAUGUGGCUGAAACUAAGUAGGGCCUUCAUUCUUAAUGUAACUGCUCGUUGCAGAAUAAGUAUGGUACAUAUUUCACUGUUUUGUGAAACCACCCCGGCAGAGACAGAAGCAACUAAAUUGAAUUAUGCCGAUGAACUUAUUGUACAAACUCCUGCGGAUGGUUUAUUUGUGUUGUAGGAUUUGUGUUUGUUAUAGCUUCAAUUUGGUUAUUAA